rnacentral:rRNA from 1 species
AGCGAACGCUGGCGGCAGGCUUAACACAUGCAAGUCGAGCGGGCACUUUCGGGUGUCCGCGGCGGACGGGUGAGUAACGCGUGGGAACGUGCCCUCUGGUUCGGAAUAACUCAGGGAAACUUGAGCUAAUACCGGAUACGCCCUUUUGGGGAAAGGCUUGCUGCCGGAGGAUCGGCCCGCGUCUGAUUAGCUAGUUGGUGAGGUAACGGCUCACCAAGGCGACGAUCAGUAGCUGGUCUGAGAGGAUGAUCAGCCACACUGGGGCUGAGACACGGCCCAGACUCCUACGGGAGGCAGCAGUGGGGAAUAUUGGACAAUGGGCGCAAGCCUGAUCCAGCCAUGCCGCGUGAGUGAUGAAGGCCUUAGGGUUGUAAAGCUCUUUUAUCCGGGACGAUAAUGACGGUACCGGAGGAAUAAGCCCCGGCUAACUUCGUG